AUCUUGUGGGAUUGGAUUUAGCCAUGCUAGUCGCACGAGUUCAGACUCGUGGCGAAUAGCUCAGUAACACGUGGCCAAACUACCCUUCGGAACACAAUACCCUCGGGAAACUGAGGCUAAUAGUGUAUACCAUACCACCACUGGAAUGAGUGGUAUGCCAAACGCUCCGGCGCCGAAGGAUGUGGCUGCGGCCGAUUAGGUAGACGGUGGGGUAACGGCCCACCGUGCCAAUAAUCGGUAUGGGUCAUGAGAGUGAGAACCCAGAGACGGAAUCUGAGACAAGAUUCCGGGCCCUACGGGGCGCAGCAGGCGCGAAACCUUUACACUGCACGACAGUGCGAUAGGGGGAUCCCAAGUGCACAGGCAUAGCGCCUGUGCUUUUCGGUACCCUAAGGCGGUACCAGAAUAAGGGCUGGGCAAGACCGGUGCCAGCCGCCGCGGUAAUACCGGCAGCCCAAGUGAUGGCCGAUCUUAUUGGGCCUAAAGCGUCCGUAGCUGGCCGCGCAAGUCCAUCGGGAAAUCCACCUGCUCAACAGGUGGGCGCCCGGUAGAAACUGCGUGGCUUGGGACCGGAAGGCGCGACGGGUACGUCCGGGGUAGGAGUGAAAUCCCGUAAUCCUGGACGGACCGCCGAUGGCGAAAGCACGUCGCGAGAACGGAUCCGACAGUGAGGGACGAAAGCCAGGGUCUCGAACCGGAU
rnacentral:rRNA from 1 species